rnacentral:rRNA from 1 species
UACGUAGGGGGCAAGCGUUGUCCGGAAUCAUUGGGCGUAAAGAGCGCGUAGGCGGUCCGGUAAGUCCGCUGUGAAAGUCAAGGGCUCAACCCUUGAAUGCCGGUGGAUACUGUCGGGCUAGAGUCCGGAAGAGGCGAGUGGAAUUCCUGGUGUAGCGGUGAAAUGCGCAGAUAUCAGGAAGAACACCCGUGGCGAAGGCGGCUCUCUGGGACGGUACUGACGCUGAGACGCGAAAGCGUGGGGAGCGAACAGG